AGAAGUUAGCGGCGGACGGGUGAGUAACACGUGGGUAACCUGCCCAUAAGACUGGGAUAACUCCGGGAAACCGGGGCUAAUACCGGAUAACAUUUUGAACUGCAUGGUUCGAAAUUGAAAGGCGGCUUCGGCUGUCACUUAUGGAUGGACCCGCGUCGCAUUAGCUAGUUGGUGAGGUAACGGCUCACCAAGGCAACGAUGCGUAGCCGACCUGAGAGGGUGAUCGGCCACACUGGGACUGAGACACGGCCCAGACUCCUACGGGAGGCAGCAGUAGGGAAUCUUCCGCAAUGGACGAAAGUCUGACGGAGCAACGCCGCGUGAGUGAUGAAGGCUUUCGGGUCGUAAAACUCUGUUGUUAGGGAAGAACAAGUGCUAGUUGAAUAAGCUGGCACCUUGACGGUACCUAACCAGAAAGCCACGGCUAACUACGUGCCAGCAGCCGCGGUAAUACGUAGGUGGCAAGCGUUAUCCGGAAUUAUUGGGCGUAAAGCGCGCGCAGGUGGUUUCUUAAGUCUGAUGUGAAAGCCCACGGCUCAACCGUGGAGGGUCAUUGGAAACUGGGAGACUUGAGUGCAGAAGAGGAAAGUGGAAUUCCAUGUGUAGCGGUGAAAUGCGUAGAGAUAUGGAGGAACACCAGUGGCGAAGGCGACUUUCUGGUCUGUAACUGACACUGAGGCGCGAAAGCGUGGGGAGCAAA
rnacentral:rRNA from 1 species